AAGCAAUUGAGGGCUACCGAAUAGGCUGCUAAUACCCAAUAAUACUAUAGGUAGCAAAAGCACUUGUGGUCAAAUGCUAGGAAUUCUGUUCCUUGUGCUUANNGAGAGGGGUUAAUGUACCUAUMAGCUAGUUGGUGGGGUAAUGGCCUACCAAGGCAAACGGGUAGCCGGCUUGAGAGGGUGGUCGGCCACACUGGGACUGAGACACUGCCCAGACUCCUACGGGAGGCUGCAGUCGAGAAUCUUUCGCAAUGCCGANAGGGACGAAGCGACGCGCGUGUGGGAAGAAGGCUUCGGGUGUUAANNCUGUCUGGGAGUUAGGAAAUGCAGGUGCGUUAAUAGCGCACUUGCUUGACUAAGGCUCCAGAGGAAGCCACGGCUAACUCUGUGCCAGCAGCCGCGGUAAUACAGAGGCGGCAAGCGUUGUUCGGAAUUAUUGGGCGUAAAGAGCACGUAGGCGGCCUUGCAAGUUCAGUUGUGAAAGCCUUUCCGCUUAACGGAAGAACGGCAUCUGAUACUACGGGCUUGAGUACGGGAGGGGAGAGUGGAACUUCUGGUGGAGCGGUGAAAUGCGUAGAUAUCAGAAGGAACGCCGGCGGCAAAGCGACUCUCUGGUCCGAAACUGACGCUGAGUGUGCGAAAGCUAGGGGAGCAAACGGGAUUAGAUACCCGGUAGUCCUAGCCGAAACGUGGGCACUAAGUAGAGGGGUUUGAUUAUUUCUCUGCCGGGCUAACGAUUAAGUGCCGCUGGGAGUACGGGGCUAAAACUCAAAGAUUACGGGGCUCGCACAAGCGGUGGGCAUGUGG
rnacentral:rRNA from 1 species